CUUACCACCGGUGGCUACAGGUAGGAGACGGCGCCCUUGAGCGGGCGCCGGCGGCAGCCAGAGCGAGGGAGCGGGCGACGGAAGCGGCAAUGUUCCCCGGUUAACCUGUAGCUUCGAGGCCGCCUCGCGCGAGUGAGCGAUGGUGGAGCGAGGAAGUGCGCGGCGGCAGCAGCGACGACUCCCCGCUUAUCUGUAGCUUCAGGGUCGCCUCAUGUGAGCGAGCGACGGCGAUAACCGGAGCAAGGGAGUGCACGGCGGCAGCGGCGGCGAUUCCCUGGUUUUCCUGUUUUUUCUGAGGCCUCCUCGCGCUAGCCAACGGCGGAUUUCGAGCGAUGGAAUCGAGCGAUAAGACUGCAGCAGCUGCUGGGCGCACGACAGGGAUGAAGCCAGCGACAUCAACAGCUGACUUGGGUACGAUUCCCUUGACAUACCAACUUGGGGACGAACUCCGCCGCACCUACAUCAGUCCUAGCCGGCGUCAAGCUGCCACACGGACGCGGAGUGGAGGACCGGGACCCCAGAUGGCCACGACGUGGUCCUUUAGCCCUGCUUCACUGGGGCGUGGUCUUUCAGCGUCGAGCAGCCUCAGCUGGGAGGCAUUGAGGGGCGCGUGGCUCUGGUGUUGCACGUCGGCGGCGGCAGCCGGCAUCGGCAAAGCGCCGGCAAGGACGUCUCAUCAUCGAUGAUGCUGUCCAUUGCCAGAGUAAACCGGGUUUGUCGGACGCAGGCUCGUGCAGAAGCUUCUAUCAGCGGGUAGCAACUAGCAAGCAGUUAAUUGGAGUUUAACAAGCAACAGUUAUCCAAUAGUUUCAUUUGGAGCUUAACAGGCAGCAUUCAACAAGCAGUUUUUCUUUCGGAUGCAGUUAUCUACAGAAACAAAAAUGAUGUGUGACUCGUUAGUAAAUUUGAUCUAAAUCACUAAAUGAGCUGAAUAGGUAAGAUUCUGUUUAUUUAGUGAAAAGAAUGCGAGCGUACAGUGUGUUUUCGACCCUCCCAGGGGCUCU